rnacentral:tRNA from 1 species
CCCUGAUGGUUUAGAUGGUAAAGAAUCUGGCUGCAACGCAGGAGAUCCAGGUUCGAUUCCUGGGUCAGGAA